UGAGCACGCAGUCCUCCUCCGCAUGGGGCCGUGGGGCGGCAGAGCGGGUGGGAAGGACGCCUGGGAGCUGGACCCAGUCUCAGCGUGGCACUUCCCACAGGGCCGCCCAAGAGUGUCCCCGGCCGCGCCGUGCGCCCUGAGCCUCCCGCGCCGGCCCCCGCGGCCCUGGAACCCGCGCCGGUGGUGGCGCUGGUGUUGGCAGCCUUCGUGCUGGGCGCCGCGCUGGCCGCCGGGCUGGGCCUCGUCUGUGCGCACUCAGCGCCCCACGCCCCUGGCCCGCCCGCGAGAGCCUCGCCCAGCGGUCCCCAGCCCAGGAGGUCCCAGUGAGGAAGGGAUGGUGCGCCCCCAACGUGGUCGGGAGAUACACCCAGCUACCAAUUCGGGACCAGGACCAAGAGGACCGGACCCGCCUCCCUGGACCUCGGACCUGAUGGGGCCACGACCCCUGCGCUUCUCUCCUCCCCCUGUCCCUCCCACCUGUGCUCAAAAUAAACCUCUGGACUGACCGGCUAAGUUCUGGUGCAGUCAGCCUUCUCCGCUCUCCAUUACCCCCGCCCGGACCCUGCCCUAGCUCCGCUUCGACCUUCUGCCUCUGCUCCAGUUCCGUCCUGGUCUGGACUUCGCCCUCCUCUUAGAUUGUCAGUCUAGUCUAGAGCUCCUUAAAUCCCUCCUGCC
rnacentral:lncRNA from 1 species